rnacentral:rRNA from 1 species
GUACACGCUGUGACUAGCAUAUCAAUAAGCGGAGGAAAAGAAACUAACAAGGAUUCCCCUAGUAACGGCGAGUGAAGCGGGAAGAGCUCAAAUUUGAAAUCUUAAAGGGUUUCCCUUUACGAAUUGUAGUUUAAAGAAGUGUUUUCUGUUGAGGUUUUGGUAAAAGUUCUUUGGAAUAGGACAUCAUAGAGGGUGAGAAUCCCGUAUUUGACCUUUACUUUCAACUUUGUGAGUACACUUUCAAAGAGUCGGAUUGUUUGGGAAUGCAGUCCAAAAUGGGUGGUAAAUUUCAUCUAAAGCUAAAUAUUGGCGAGAGAUCCGAUAGCGAACAAGUACCGUGAGGGAAAGAUGAAAAGAACUUUGAAAAGAGAGUUAAACAGUACGUGAAAUUGUCAAAAGGGAAGCGUUUGACACCAGUGUUGUUUUUCUGAAAAUCAAUUAAAGAACUGUUUAUGCUAAGCUGUUUAGACUUUAUCAGCUAUCUGUUUAGUUUUGAGCUUUUCUUUAAUGCACUUUUCAGUUAACAAGUCAACAUCAAUUUCUUUUGCUGUAAAAAAGCUUGAGGAAGGUGGCUUGAGAUUCGUCUUAAGUGUUUAUAGCCUCUUGCCUAUGCAGUCGGAGAGAUUGAGGUCUGCAGCGUAGAUCCUUCGGGGCUAAAUGCAUUUGUGCUAAGUUAUAGCAUUUUAUAGACAACUUGUUGACUAUGAUUUGUCUUGUAGCUUACUCGCUUAUGUUAUUUUACCUACGCUUAGGAUGUUGAAGUCAUCGUAUCGCGC